CGGUAAUACGUAGGGUGCAAGCGUUAAUCGGAAUUACUGGGCGUAAAGCGUGCGCAGGCGGUUUUGUAAGUCUGUCGUGAAAUCCCCGGGCUUAACCUGGGAAUUGCGAUGGAGACUGCAAGGCUAGAAUCUGGCAGAGGGGGGUAGAAUUCCACGUGUAGCAGUGAAAUGCGUAGAGAUGUGGAGGAACACCGAUGGCGAAGGCAGCCCCCUGGGUCAAGAUUGACGCUCAUGCACGAAAGCGUGGGGAGCAAACAGGAUUAGAUACCCUGGUAGUCCACGCCCUAAACGAUGUCUACUAGUUGUCGGGUCUUAAUUGACUUGGUAACGCAGCUAACGCGUGAAGUAGACCGCCUGGGGAGUACGGUCGCAAGAUUAAA
rnacentral:rRNA from 1 species